GAUGAACGCUGGCGGCGUGCCUAAUACAUGCAAGUCGAGCGAACAGACGAGGAGCUUGCUCCUCUGACGUUAGCGGCGGACGGGUGAGUAACACGUGGAUAACCUACCUAUAAGACUGGGAUAACUUCGGGAAACCGGAGCUAAUACCGGAUAAUAUAUUGAACCGCAUGGUUCAAUAGUGAAAGACGGUUUUGCUGUCACUUCUAGAUGGAUCCGCGCCGCAUUAGCUAGUUGGUAAGGUAACGGCUUACCAAGGCGACGAGGCGUAGCCGACCUGAGAGGGUGAUCGGCCACACUGGAACGGAGACACGGUCCAGACUACUACGGGAGGCAGCAGUAGGGAAUCUUCCGCAAUGGGCGAAAGCCUGACGGAGCAACGCCGCGUGAGUGAUGAAGGUCUUCGGAUCGUAAAACUCUGUUAUUAGGGAAGAACAAAUGUGUAAGUAACUAUGCACGUCUUGACGGUACCUAAUCAGAAAGCCACGGCUAACUACGUG
rnacentral:rRNA from 1 species